rnacentral:rRNA from 1 species
GAUGAACGCUGGCGGCGUGCUUAACACAUGCAAGUCGAACGGAAAGGCCCUGCUUGCAGGGUACUCGAGUGGCGAACGGGUGAGUAACACGUGGGUGAUCUGCCCUGCACUUCGGGAUAAGCCUGGGAAACUGGGUCUAAUACCGGAUAGGAGCCAUUUUUAGUGGGAUGGUUGGAAAGUUUUUUCGGUGUAGGAUGAGCUCGCGGCCUAGCAGCUUGUUGGUGGGGUAAUGGCCUACCGAGGCGGCGACGGGAAGCCGGCCUGAGAGGGUGGACGGCCACCCUGGGUCUGAGGUGCGGCCCAGACUCCUACGCGUGGCAGCUGUGGGGAAUAUUGCACAAUCGGCGCCAGCCUGGUGCAGCGACGCCGCGUGUCGGAUGACGGCCUUCGGGUUGUAAACUCCUUUCGCUAGGGACGAAGCUUUUUGUGACGGUACCUAGAUAAGAAGCACCGGCUAACUACGUG